rnacentral:rRNA from 1 species
GAUGAACGCUAGCGGCAGGCUUAAUACACGCAAGUCGAGGGGCAGCAGGUCCCGCAGCAAUGCGGGAUGCUGGCGACCGGCAAACGUGUGCGGAACACGUACAGAACCUUCCUUUAAGUGGGGAAUAGCCCGGGGAAACCCGGAUUAAUACCCCGUAACAUAAUGAAGUGGCAUCACUCUAUUAUUAUAGCAGCAAUGCGCUUGAAGAUGGCUGUGCGGCUGAUUAGGUAGUUGGCGGGGUAACGGCCCACCAAGCCUACGAUCAGUAACUGGUGUGAGAGCACGACCAGUCACACGGGCACUGAGACACGGGCCCGACUCCUACGGGAGGCAGCAGUAAGGAAUAUUGGGCAAUGGACGCAAGUCUGACCCAGCCAUGCCGCGUGGAGGAUGAAGGUCCUCUGGAUUGUAAACUUCUUUUAUCUGGGAAGAAAUCUAUUUUUUCUAAAGUAGUUGACGGUACUAGAUGAAUAAGCACCGGCUAACUCCGUGCCAGCCGCCGCCGUAA